CAUCCUGACUGGAGGACAAGUGAGGUCGGCCUGCCUGCGUCUUCUCUUUCACUUUCCUUUCAGCUUUGAGCCUCACGUCCUCCUCAGGACGCCCCAACAGACUGAGGGGGGUUUGAAUCCCAAGCAGCCCAAGUUCCUGCUUGAGAUGGUGGCGGAGGAACUUCACGACGACCAUGGAAAGGAUGAGGAGAGCGAGCACUCCGCCCACCGAUGCCCCGAUCGCAACCGCAAUCGUGGAGUCUCUCGGCGGCGGCACUGAGGGGAAAGGAUGAGGAAGUGCGGUUCCCCGCGAACGUGACCCGGUCGGCGAACGGGACCCUGUCUGGCAGCGUGACCCGGUCUGCAAAGCGCCGGGCCAUCAUUCCUUUCUUCUGGUUGUACACCAUAAACUACGGAGAGAAGUUAAGAAAGAGACGGUUUACAGUAAGUAGGGUUCGAACCUUGGCUAUGACAUUCUUACCAUUUUUUCCGUGUCGUUGACCGUUUCUUGGUAGGUCCAGUUCAUGACGAACUUGGGCGGGUAUAUUUUAUAGCAGGAAGUGAAAGUGCAGGGGAUUUUGAUAUCGGUCCCAUUCUUUACGUUGAUUUUACUGGGCACAAUGACGUCCAUGCAUAGAGAACCUGCAAGGAAAAACAUUUCGUUACUAGCUGAGAGAUUAAACUGCCGGUAAUCUAAACCCAGCAGGCACAAGACAUCGAUACAACGUUGAUUACACACAUACAUGUCCUUUAAAACGGACUUUGAAACAAGGUAAAUCCGACAAGUUUGUCAAAUUAUCGGCCCGUUUCCAAAUGACCUUUUGUGUCAAAGAUUUUGGAGAAAUGUGUUCUGGCACAACUGCAGCCUUUUUUUAGAUGAAAAUAGCACUUUAGAUCCAUUUCAGUCUGGAUACAAAGCUUUGCACAGUACUGAAUCUGCACUUUUAAAGGUUUUUAAUGACUUGCUUUUAAUGUCUGAUUCUGGCAGCUCUGCCAUUUUAGUGCUUUUAGAUCUUACAGCUGCCUUGGACACAGUCGACCACACAAUUCUUUUAGACCGCCUGAGAGACUGUGUGGGUGUCAGGGGGACUGCGUUAGCGUGGUUCAGAUCUUACCUGUCUGAGAGGUCCUUCUCUGUCAGGCUGGGGGACGCCACCUCCUCUUCUGCCCCGCUUUACUGUGGUGUCCCCCAGGGAUCUAUUUUAGGCCCCAUCCUGUUUGCUCUUUAUCUCCUCCCUCUUGGAGAUAUUUUUAAGAAACAUGGAGUGUUUUAUCACUUUUAUGCAGAUGACUGCCAAAUUUAUAUGCCGAUUUCAGUACUCUGGAAUGCCCUCCCGGUAACAGUUCGAGAUGCUACCUCAGUAGAAGCAUUUAAGUCUCAUCUUAAAACUCAUCUGUAUACUCUAGCCUUUAAAUAGACCUCCUUUUUAGACCAGUUGAUCUGCCGCUUCUUUUCUUUCUCCUAUGUCCCCCCCUCCCUUGUGGAGGGGGUCCGGUCCGAUGACCAUGGAUGAAGUACUGACUGUCCAGAGUCGAGACCCAGGAUGGACCGCUCGUCGGGACCCAGGAUGGACCGCUCGCCUGUAUCGGUUGGGGACAUCUCUACGCUGCUGAUCCGCUUGAGAUGGUUUCCUGUGGACGGGACUCUCACUGCUGUCUUGGAGCCACUAUGGAUUGAACUUUCACAGUAUCAUGUUAGACCCGCUCGACAUCCAUUGCUUUCGGUCCCCUAGAUGGGGGGGGGUUGCCCACAUCUGAGGUCCUCUCCAAGGUUUCUCAUAGUCAGCAUUGUCACUGGCGUCCCACUGAAUGUGAAUUCUCCCUGCCCACUGGGUGUGAGUUUUCCUUGCCCUUUUGUGGGUUCUUCCGAGGAUGUUGUAGUCGUAAUGAUUUGUGCAGUCCUUUGAGACAUUUGUGAUUUGGGGCUAUAUAAAUAAACAUUGAUUGAUUGAUUGAUUGAUUUCAAAAAGCCACGGCCCCCUGACACCCCUUCUUAACUGUCUAUGCGACGUCAAGGCUUGGUUAGCCCAGAAUUUUUUAAUAAUGAAUGAGGGAAAAACGGAAAUUUUAGUUUUUGGUCCGGCCCUCACUGACUUGGGACCAUUGCAAAAUGAUGUGCGUCCCAAAGUCACCAGCCUUGGCGUCACUAUAGACAGCCAUUUUAAACUAGACAAACAAGUCAAUGGCGUUUUAAAAUCGUGUUUUUAUCACCUUCGUCUUUUAGUAAAGGUUAAACCGUUUUUAUCUUUUAACCUUUUUGAACAAGUCGUGCAUGCUUUUAUUUCAAGUUGCCUGGACUACUGCAAUGCACUUUAUGCUGGCAUUAGCCAAAAAGCUCUCUCCCGGUUGCAGUUAGUCCAGAACGCGGCAGCACGACUUUUAACAGGGGCCAGGAAACGCCAGCAUAUAACCUCAAUUCUUCAGAGUUUGCACUGGCUCCCUGUUCAUUGUAGAAUUGAUUUUAAAACAUUGCUGUUUGUUUUUAAAUCUUUACAUGGACUGGCACCUCAAUAUAUCUCGGACCUUAUCCAAAUUUACAUUCCUGCGUGCGCUCUGAGGUCCGAGAGCCAGUUCCAGCUCGUGGUGCCCAAGACCAGACUUAAGACCAGUGGAGACAGGGCCUUCUCUGUGGUCGGCCCUAAGCUCUGGAACACUCUGCCCCUCCAUGUUCAAACUGCUUCCACAGUGGAGUGUUUUAAGUCUCGUCUUAAGACCCACUUUUAUUCUUUGGCUUUUAACACUACGUGAGUUGUGUGGUCCUCUGUGUUUUUUAUACACUUUGAUUUCUAUUUUACUGUUUUAAUCGAUUUUACCCUUUAAAAUAGUUUUUAAUCAUAUUUGUUUUUAUAUUAUUUUUAUUGGUUUUAUUUUUAUUCAUUUUUUGUUUUAUUCAGUCAUUGGUGGAGCAUAAUAUUGUUUUUAACAUGGCUGUGCAGCACUUUGGAAACGUUAUUGUUGUUUAAAUGUGCUAUAUAAAUAAAGUGGAUUGGAUUGGAUCGAA